rnacentral:lncRNA from 1 species
AGACUUUUGGAACCUGGCGCGGGCUCCACGACCACCGAACUUCUUGGGCUCGCAGCGCCUGGGGUCGGCGACGAGGAGUGUGCGGUCGUAGCGAGAGAAGAUGUCCUUGACCUCCUUCUUGGCGGCCUCGUCGACGUACUUCUGGUAGUAGGCGACGAGCCCCUUGGCGACGGCCUGGCGGAUGGCGUAGAUCUGCGACGUCUUCCCGCCGCCGCGGACGCGGAUCCGCAUGUCGAUGUCCUUGAACCUCGACCGGCCGGCCAGCAGGAUGGGCUCGAAGGCCUUGAGGCGGAGCAUCUCCGGGCGGAUCAGCUCGAUCGGGACGCCGUUCACCUUGAUCAGCCCGCGCCCCGGCUUCGUGUACGCCACGGCCACGGCGGUCUUCUUCCGCCCGAAGCACUGGACCGUGCCCGGGGUAGGGCGGCUCAGCACGGACAUGGUUG